AUAUAUGAUUAUUUUUUUUGGAAUCUCGUUCGUCUGAAAUCCUGUUGAUAAGUCUUUAUAAAUGAUGUUA
rnacentral:snoRNA from 1 species